ensembl:lncRNA
CCCUCCACCCUUCAACCCCUCUCAGCCUUCUCUCCCACUGGUGAAAGAAUGCCGCAAACACAGGACACAGAAGGUGUUCCUGUAUGAUAGGAUUUUGAGAAAAAGAGUUGCAAAUGGAAGAGCAGAAGUGAAAGUGAGGUGGCAAUCAUGCACAAAAUGUGGCAAGGCCUGGAAGGACACGUGGGAGCCAGCUGAGCAGUAUCAACAGAAAUAAAGUCCUGUUUAGUUCUCACCUGUAUAUGUUUCAAUAUGUUAUAUGUUAAUUCUGCCGUUGGAAUAACACACACACACACACACACACACACACACACACACACACACACACACACACACACACACACACCAAAAUAAUGUUCAAUAAAAUAUGUUUUAUGGUAUGUUUGUUGUCUUUUUAAAUAAUUUUAGGAUUUUUUUCUUUGAUAAUGGCGGACAGUUUUUAUUCUUGG